GAGGGAUUUCUGUUUCUUCUGAAUAUGUAGGUUACUAUACGAUACUUUUCGUUUAAUUUACUUUAAUUUUACGAUUAUCAUCUGUUACCUAUCCUUCUCGGUCUGUUUGGAGCCUUCUGGUUUAGUGCAACACAAACUGGCGUAAACGAAUCAUAUCUAUGAAAUUCAAAUGAAACGAAUCAAUUGGGACUUUGCAAUCAGGUGCAACGUACCGUAUUCGUGUUGAAAUUCCCUGGUAGUAGUACCAAGUUCUAUUUGUUUGGCACUACGGUCAAACACACAUAUCGGUGCUCCGCACCGAUCCCUCAUACGCCACAGAGUCAAGAGUGGAGGAUGUGAUGGGCCAGCAGAGGAGGACAGAUGGAAGUGCUGACCUGUUGGGAACGUGGACGUAACCUCUGCCUCAGGACCUGUCCCCUUAAACCCCCCAGAAAAUCUUCUUCGGUCCUGGAGCCAACAAACAUCCAAAAAGUUUGCAGGAGGAGAGGAGUGCCGGGGACCUGACGUGGAUCUGGUAGUGACAAGAAAGAUGGGACAGGCAGGAGGGUGCGUCCUUUGAACCUCAAGACCACGGUGAGGCCUGGACUUCUGACGAGGCGUCUCGGCCUGCGUUCCUUCCCAAGGUCAGCCGUUCCUGCGGGGUCCUCCACGCUCACAGAGCACAUUGAGAUGGCUUGCCUUGACACAGCUGUGGAGGACAGUGAUUCUUCGGCACUGAAGAGGAAACGCGAUUACCAGAGAGACAGAGACAUCCACCCAGCAAGUGAGGAGCAAGAUUGGACUUGCGGAAGGAACGAGGGACAUGGGGGAAAAAGAAGAAGGGUCAAAAAGCAGAAGGAUGCCUUCUCUUUGUGUGAGGGGAAGAGAAAAUACAUGUAUACCCACUUUAACCUGACCCCCCCCCCCUACCCCCAAGCCUUUGGUCCAUCAAUGUCCUGUUAGAGAGGUCCAGUAGUUAUAGUUCAGACUUCGGCUGCAGCUACCGCUCUAUCUCCCUGCCCCGCCUUCAAGAUCACCCCUCCCACACGCUACCCCACCUGCCUGCCCUGGCUAACACAAGCCGACACAUCAUAAUAACAGUAAGAGGCCUUUCCCGUCCUAUGUCAUGCUCAGAGAGAUUAGUUCCCCUUCACAAAACCAAGGUAAUUUUCUUUGGGCUGAAACACUACAGUUUGGGGUUAACUACUUAUUGCAGCCUGAGAGGAACCUUCAAAUCUCCAGGGAACUAGCAGCUUCCAUUUUGUUUUAAGUGAAGUCUUUCCUAUGAAAAUAUAUUUGUUUGUACCCACAUUCCAAUAGAGUUUUGUCUUAUUGAUUGUGCAACCUCACAUGAGCUGUGUGCUCUUUGCUUCUUCCGUUCACCCUGGAUUUUUGCCUUCAUUGUCAACUUUAUUCCCACACUCAGAGUUUGAAAACUAAUAGCAAAAAAUGUCAACCAGCAGAUUCACACACUACCCCAUGCAUUUAUUACUGGUGAGGAUAGGUCAGUUGCAGUCUGCUAUAAUUGGCACUAGUUACAAUGCCCAGCCGUAGUCCUUGUAGUGUACAGUAACUGUCCAGGAGCUUCUCCCCUGAGUAAUG